rnacentral:rRNA from 1 species
CGUAGGUGCGAGCGUUGUCCGGAUUACUGGGCGUAAAGGGCUCGUAGGUGGUGUGUCGCGUCGUCUGUGUAAUCCAGGGCUUAACUUUGGUUGGCAGGCGAUACGGGCAUUGCUUGAGUGCUGUAGGGAGACUGGAAUUCCUGGUGUAGCGGUGAAAUGCGCAGAUAUCAGGAGGAACACCGAUGGCGAAGGCAGGUCUCUGGGCAGUUACUGACGCUGAGGAGCGAGAGCAUGGGUAGCGAACAGGAUU